UUUACUGUGAGGCAGGAUUAUAUCUCAAAGUAUUAUUUGGUUUAUAUGUGAUGUUUCUAAUUCCUUUUACUCUCUCUCUCUGUCUCUCUCUGGUAUCCAGAGAGUCUUUUUUUUUCCUCUCUCCAGCUUUUACUGAAGUCAUAACAAGAUUCAGAGAGAUGGUGGACCUAGAUUCAAGGCAAAGAUUCUCUUCGUGGAACCAUUUUAAGAGGUUCUUUAAAAAACAAAAACAAACAAACAACAACAGAAACAAAAGCACUUCCAAGAUACUAGAGAAGGUCAGAAGAGGAGAACGAUGAAGUGAAAAUGAAAGGAAGGAGAAGGAGUUUGCUGGAAGGUGAGAAGAUUCAGUCACCCUGGAGCAGAGUAGAAGAGUCUCAGAAGAUAAAGCAGUCUUCCAGCACAGAUCCAGGCCCAUACCCUCAACUCCACUGAACCUUCUCUUGGGAACCUUCCCUAUCAGCAGCCCUGGUCUCCUUCAAGCAUCCUGAGUAGAAGAAAAUCCCUACAAGAUAGGUGUUGCGAUCCCUACUUCACAGAUGAAAGAAGAGGAACUAAGAAGUUCAGCCACGUGGUCGCAAGGUCACAUGCUUGGCCAAAGUGGCGUUUUUCCAGAAAUCAGCAGCUAGUCCAGACCUGGUGUACAGAAGAGAAUAAGAUGAAAUCUACAAAGGGAAGGCAUUUGCAUUCUGCGGCCUGACCCUCAGUGCUAAAAGGUCAGUGGGGGGAUAUUGUCAAAGACACUAAAGAACUCUCCCUACUAUUUCUUGUAAACAAAGGACACCAAGCUAUAUUAUGCCAAAUGAGCAAAGAAUAUUAAAAAGCAAAGUUCGUGACCCACAUUAACUCACAAAUUUCCUGGAAAGAGGCAAUGCAUAUUUU